rnacentral:rRNA from 1 species
UACAGAGGGUGCAAGCGUUGUUCGGAAUUAUUGGGCGUAAAGCGCGUGUAGGCGGCUUUGCAAGUCGGGUGUGAAAGCCCUCAGCUUAACUGAGGAAGUGCGCCCGAAACUGCACAGCUUGAGUACCGGAGAGGAUGGCGGAAUUCCCGAAGUAGAGGUGAAAUUCGUAGAUAUCGGGAGGAACACCGGUGGCGAAGGCGGCCAUCUGGACGGAUACUGACGCUGAGACGCGAAAGCGUGGGUAGCAAACAGG